rnacentral:rRNA from 1 species
GACGAACGCUGGCGGCGUGCUUAACACAUGCAAGUCGAACGGAAAGGCCCUGCUUUUGUGGGGUGCUCGAGUGGCGAACGGGUGAGUAACACGUGAGUAACCUUCCCUUGACUUUGGGAUAACUUCAGGAAACUGGGGCUAAUACCGGAUAGGAGCUCCUGCUGCAUGGUGGGGGUUGGAAAGUUUCGGCGGUUGGGGAUGGACUCGCGGCUUAUCAGCUUGUUGGUGGGGUAGUGGCUUACCAAGGCUUUGACGGGUAGCCGGCCUGAGAGGGUGACCGGCCACAUUGGGACUGAGAUACGGACCAGACUCCUACGGGAGGCAGCAGUGGGGAAUAUUGCACAAUGGGCGGAAGCCUGAGGCAGAAACGCCGCGUGCGGGAUGACGGCCUUCGGGUUGUAAACCGCUUUCGCCUGUGACGAAGCGUGAGUGACGGUAAUGGGUAAAGAAGCACCGGCUAACUACGUG